rnacentral:lncRNA from 1 species
AAGAUUAAAUCACCACAAAUCUUCGAUUCUACAAGCUCCGGAAGGAGGUUCGGCGCGUGGAUUUCGCGUGAAGCCGAGGAUUCGGUGGACGCUUUGAGGAGUUGAGGCGUUGACGCUGCGAGGAGUUGCAGCGAGGUCGAUUGGUGGAUUCCUAUCGAUCGAGGACCGGCGAAGAUCACCAUCAACAAGAAAUCGGUAAAUUGAGUCGUGUAUUUUU